AAGAGAUAUCAGCCCAUAGUAACGGCCAACUUCUCAGAACCUCUUGCGCUAGAAUGUGGGUUGAGACGUGUGAGCACCGCCACGAAGGACCUGAGUCAGACCAAAUGCCAGCACAAGCAAGAUGACUGUCUGGGACACCAUGAACUUAAAACCUGUGACUGCAAGCCACAUGGCAGAGCAGUUCUCCUGGGUUCCCUUACCCUACUGCUCUCCGCCUGGGCUCUCCUUCCCAAUAAAAUCUUUUGCUUUGUCAGCACAUGUGUCUUCUCAGACAAUUCCUUCCUGAGGGUAGACAAGAGCAGAUUCUCAGGGUCUGGAAGGGGCCCUGUUCCAGUAACAAUAGUAUGACUAUGGAUAGACAGAGACCAACCCGAAACAAGAGAGCUUAUAAUCGCCAUAAACCAGGCAGCAUUUUGAGGAUCAUCCAGAUUAAGUGUGAGACAUCACUGGCUGACUGUUGGCUGGAUAAAACAUGUGCACAAAUAAGACUAUUAUCUGAGUGUCAUUAAAUAAUAGAAUUCCUUAAAUUCUACAGUUUAGCUAUCAUAAAACUUACAAAUAUUGGCCCU
rnacentral:lncRNA from 1 species